rnacentral:rRNA from 1 species
GUAGUCUCGCACAGAUGCAUAUCAAUAAGCGGAGGAAAAGAAACUAACAAGGAUUCCCCUAGUAACGGCGAGUGAAGCGGGAAGAGCUCAAAUUUGAAAUCUUAAAGGGUUUCCCUUUACGAAUUGUAGUUUAAAGAAGUGUUCUCUGUUGAGGUUUUGGUAAAAGUUCUUUGGAAUAGGACAUCAUAGAGGGUGAGAAUCCCGUAUUUGACCUUUACUUUCAACUUUGUGAUACACUUUCAAAGAGUCGGAUUGUUUGGGAAUGCAGUCCAAAAUGGGUGGUAAAUUUCAUCUAAAGCUAAAUAUUGGCGAGAGACCGAUAGCGAACAAGUACCGUGAGGGAAAGAUGAAAAGAACUUUGAAAAGAGAGUUAAACAGUACGUGAAAUUGUCAAAAGGGAAGCGUUUGACACCAGUGCUUGUUUUUCUGAAAAUCAAUUAAAGAACUGUUUAUGCUAAGUUGUUUAGACUUUAUCAGCUAACUGUUUAGUUUUGAGCUUUUCUUUAAUGCACUUUUCAGUUAACAAGUCAACAUCAAUUUCUUUUGCUGUAAAAAAGCUUGAGGAAGGUGGCUUGAGAUUCGUCUUAAGUGUUUAUAGCCUCUUGCCUAUGCAGUCGGAGAGAUUGAGGUCUGCAGCGUAGAUCCUUCGGGGCUAAAUGCAUUUGUGCUAAGUUAUAACAUUUUAUAGACAACUUGUUGACUAUGAUUUGUCUUGUAGCUUACUCGCUUAUGUUAUUUUACCUACGCUUAGGAUGUUGAUCUGUAGUGCGUGCGC